rnacentral:rRNA from 1 species
AUGGCUCAGGAUGAACGCUAGCGACAGGCUUAACACAUGCAAGUCGAGGGGCAGCAUAAAAGUAGCAAUACUUGGUGGCGACCGGCGCACGGGUGAGUAACGCGUAUGCAACCUACCUAUCAGAGGGGAAUAACCCGGCGAAAGUCGGACUAAUACCGCAUAAAACAGGGGCACCGCAUGGUGAUAUUUGUUAAAGAAAUUCGCUGAUAGAUGGGCAUGCGUUCCAUUAGGUAGUUGGUGAGGUAACGGCUCACCAAGCCGACGAUGGAUAGGGGAACUGAGAGGUUGGUCCCCCACACUGGUACUGAGACACGGACCAGACUCCUACGGGAGGCAGCAGUGAGGAAUAUUGGUCAAUGGGCGAGAGGCCUGAACCAGCCAAGUCGCGUGAAGGAAGAAGGAUCUAUGGUUCGUAAACUUCUUUUGCAGGGGAAUAAAGUGCAGGACGUGUCCUGUUUUGUAUGUACCCUGAGAAUAAGGAUCGGCUAACUCCGUGCCAGCAGCCGC